rnacentral:sRNA from 1 species
CCCAAGGUUGGUUAAUGCUACACCAACUGGUUGGACAUAAUCCUGCGGAGUAAAACAUGAGCGAUAAAAUUAUUCACCUGACCGA